CUUGCUUUUCCAAGUCUUCCAUUGAGAGUAUUUUAUUAGUCGAUUUCCAGGAGAUGUUUAGAUCUAUUUAUCUACUUUUUUAAGAAAUGUGACAGCUUCCUAAAACAUAAAUGUACAGCUUGAUCAAUUAAGUUGAUUUCUCGUAACAAUCUCAUGGCAGCUUCCUGAGAAUUAUUGGAAAAUUUACUACCCAGCACUUCCCACCCACCAGUGCACCACAUUGGAAGUGUUUAAACAGCACUGGAAUUGUAGGUUGCAUAUAGACGUGCAAGCCCUAACAUGCCCAGGCCUCAGCAAUAACCUAGGUGUUUUGUGAAACAGGUAAUAGAUGGCCUGUGGGGAGCAGGAAUUCUUAAAUUGUAUUAUUGUUGGAAGACCCUUUCGUUGAGGUAAACUUAACUUGGGGAAAGCUGGGAGGCAGGAAAAAGUGACUUGUUUCUGCUGCUCCCCAAUAAUCCCUUGCCCCCCCACUCCACAUCAAAUGACCAUCUUUAUUUCAGAAAGUUGGGUUAGGAAGAACUCAAAGGAAAUACAGAAAAUGUGACAAUGAGGAAAGGUGGGAGUUUGUUUUUGUUGUUCUUACCAAAAAAAAAACAAACAACAACAAAAAACUCUUAGCUUUGGUCUGUUUAGACUAAGUCUAACCAGUAGAGUUGUUUGGAAAUAUCUUUCUGUUGAUCAGCGUCUGAAUUCCAGAUCUUUGUCAGCCGCAGUUUUCCUGAGUCAGAAGUCAUUCGGACUGGUGGCAGCCUCCUUCAGCCAGUGAGCCUCGGAGACGAGAUGCUUAUCUAGACAGCUGGGAUUAUCUUCGCCAGGGAAGUUCAAAGAUGUGGUUAUAGAUUCUGAGACCCUAGUGGAACAUCCUAUACCACAUUUCUACUACAAGAUUAACUCUCAAACCUGGAAUUAGCCUGCCCCCAAACUCCUGUCUUAUGUAUUUUGAAGCCGCAUCCCUUGGACCAAACUGAAUCUCCCAGGAUGCAAGCCUGAUACAUCAGAUACUUUAUUGGAAACCCAAGCAUUAAACGUUCUGACUGUGCUUUACACAAAUAGAUAACAGGAAGUCAUCAGGGGGUGUUUGUUAGAUGAUGUUAAUGGAAAAUUCAACUGGCGUCUGUAUUAUUUACAAUAUUUGGCACAGUAAGUAGUAGAAAAUACAACUAAAACUCUUCAGCAAUAAAAAGAAUGUUAGCUAACAUCACUGAAAAAUCUGGUGAUACAGUGACACUUGAUUGAGUAGCUCAAGGAGAUCAAGGAUUCCAUUCUUCCAAUCUUCCUACUCUACCUUCCACAGCAUUGAUGUCUGUGCAGAAACUGGUUAGCUGUUCACCAAAGUUUUUAGCUCUUUCUCCUGAUGAUGCAAGUGGACUGUAUGAUUUCCUAGCCUUCCUCACAGUUAGGUUUGGCCAUGUGACUGAGUUCUGGCCAAGAAGAAGUAGCAAAAAUAUAAUAGCUUGUGGAAGGAGAAAGCAUGCAGAAUCAUGCAUGGUCUACACACAGAAGAAGUCAUGAACUAAUACUAAAGAUAUCUUGACCACACGUGCCUCCAACACAUACAGGCUCCAAAAUCUCAAGAACAGAAAAGAAGUAUGAAAUCUAUGCAACCCUGAGAAAGGACUGCUCCCAGACUAAUUUCAGCUGUCACCAUAAAAGGUCAGGGAGGAUAAUUAAUAGGGAACUACCUCCCAGAAGGAGAACUCAGGACCUGCAGGAAACAACAGCUGAAAAAGUUCUUUUCAGAAAGAAGAAUAAAAUCUAGCCAAGGAACCUCCCCCAUUUGUUAGGGGAAAGGGGCCUCCUCAAGCCUGCCUGACAGAAUGUUCACCAUUGCUAUGGGCCACUGACUUCAGUAGAAUCCCACUCUUUUCUUGGUCUGAACGGAAGUUUGAGCUGUAGCUAACCCAUCUCUGCUCCAAUAUUUUAUAUUGGGUGGGCAUGGGGGAGCAAAUAAUUUAAUUUGUUGUUUCAUAUGCUGCAAGAUAAUUAGAGGUAUAUUCAGACUCAAUGGAGAAUAAAGAGCAUUAUCUAAAGAUCAUAAAUACCUGGAUGGCUAUCUCCCUUGACACAGAAUAAGUAUCUUCUAUUAUGUGGAAGGAAGAGUAAAAUAGGUAUGUGGUGCCAAUAAAAGUGCAAUGUGGCAGAAACUGGCUUGCCGUUCACCGAAAACCAUUUCCUUUUUCAGUUUGGCCAUGUGAUCCAUGUCUGGCCAGGGGGAUGGCACAGACAUGAGCAACCCCUUUCAGACGUGACUCAUAAAAAUUACUUGCAUGUGAUCCUCCAUGCUCUUUCUCUUUCCAUGGCUUGAUGGAAAAGAGCACAGAGAUCUUGCAAGCUUUAUACUGAGAAUGGAGGAGCCACAAGAUGUAAGGAGGUUGGGCACUUCUGCUUCUAACUGGGAUGAAGUUAAGAGACUAGAUUUACUCUCCUUCCUGAAACAAUCAAUAAAUUGGACAAAAUAUUUGAAACAAUGGUUUUCAAGGCAUUGGUCAUAGACAUCAGGCAGUGAAGAACAGUGAUCACUGAGAAACUGUAAGUAAGGCAAGCCCCUACAACUAUCGAGAGAGAGGUUCUGGGACAUGGCUCAGGCAGUGAGACUUCGGGCAGGGCCCAGCACACUGUCUAGAGGAGGGUGGAAGUCUGGGGGGACCAAGGCAGCUAGAGUUCACAGGAUAAAGUACUAUAAAGGGCAGAGCUGCCCAAAGAGAAAGACCUUGGGAGAUAUGCAGAGGGAACCCCUUGAGUGUUCAGCAAAGUACUGAUCAGCAAGUGUAAGGAAACUAUUUGGGCCUGGAAAAAGAAUGUUCUAGAAGGCACAGUACCUGGAGCUCACACAGGGCUGAAAUUAGUGUGUCUUCUCACCAGCUAGGCUGAAAAAUCUCAUAAUUCAUGGGGUAUUAGGUAGAGUUUUCAGAAGGCUCUUGUCUCAGCAGUAGGACUAAAUUAGCUCAAAACUAAAUGCUCUCUAGUUCUCCAAACAAAUAUUAAAAGUAAAUCCCAAAAGGAUAAAACUGUUUCUAACAUAACAUCAUCCCAGAGCAAAGCUCAACAAUGUUUAUAGGGACACAGAGAACAUGUUGGGUGCUGGCAACUUUUGACUGGAUGUCAGCAAUAAAAAACUUAGACUUGGGCUUCCCUGGAGGUGCAGUGGUUGAGAGUCUGCCUGCCGAUGCAGGGGACACGGGUUCGUGCCCCGGUCCGGGAGGAUCCCACGUGCCGCGGAGCGGCUGGGCCCGUGAGCCUGCGCGUCCGGAGCCUGUGCUCCGCAACGGGAGAGGCCACAACAGUGAGAGGCCCGCGUACCGCAAACAAACAAACAAACAAAGAAACUUAGACUUGAUAUAACUUAGGAACCAACCUGUAUUGUAUUUGAGACAUUUCUGUGGGUUUGUAUGUUGCAUAGCUUCCUAUUGGGGCUGGUCCCAAGAUCUUAUGGUCAUAUGACAGUAACCUGCAUUAACUAAGGCUAUAUCUUUCUUAUUCAUGUCCAGUGGGACCCAGUGUCUUUUUUAAUAGCUUCCAUAGAAGAAAAAUAAUUGUAUUUCCCAAAGCCUCCAUUAAUGUAUCCUUGUAUUUUGUUAGUCUAAACUGAUUCAUGUUACAAUAUCUAAGUGAAUGAUGGUUGAGGCCACCAUAGAAAAUUGUGCAUGUUACACCUUGAACAGGGGCACUCAGCCAAGGGAAGAAAUGGGGGCUCAAAGCCAGCAUGUGCCCUGUUUAUCAAACGGUGCAAUUUGGUGCUGGGCUGCAUUCACCUGGAGAAGGGGGCACCUUUCUUUUAUUUGCACAAAGCUGCCACACGGCCUUGUGUAGACCCUGAUCUUUGUGAUCAAGCAGAGAGACUCUAGUAGGAAACGGAAAUAGAACCGAAUGCUAGCUAGGGAUCAGGGGAACAAGAAAAUGACUACUACGACAACCUCAAUGAUGUGAUUGUUAGUACGGCUAUCACUCGUUAUAUUUCAAUAUAUCUUUUCAGAUAUCCUAAAUGAAAGGAAUCUCACUUAUCCGAAAUCUUAUACAAUUAUAUCUUAUAAAAUCUCUUAGAGAGAGAAUUAGCUUUAAUUAUAAUUAAUUGCAUGCAUGUAACAAGUCAGGGAUGCAACACAGAGAGAGCCAAGGAUUGGAGGACUGUGUGUCGAGACUCUUGUGGGACUAAAUGGAGACAGGGAAUUCUUUUGGCCAACACAGGAAAAGCUGGUAAAAGGAGAAAGAGUUCCAGCAAGCGUUAUAUUUUGAGUGGAAAGUACUUAGGUGACAAAUGCUACUAUGCCAUCUUUCCUUUUCUCAAGACAAGAAAUAAAGUGAUUUCUUCAG